rnacentral:tRNA from 1 species
GCCCUUAACCAGGCAAAACUCGGCUUGGCGAUCGUCGCGCGCCUACCCAGGUCGCUCUCCUAAAGCGGGUGUCGCAGGUUCGAAUCCUGCCGGGGGCA